CCAGGGAAACCCAAACACAGUUAUGGCGGUCCUUGAGGUUUCCUGAGGCGCCAUUAACAAAACCAUCGCCACCCGCCUCUUUUCCUGCGCUGUGGGCCUAGCUGAGAGGCUGGGAGACAUCUCUGAGGCGAGGGAAAGAGGAGGAGAGCGACGGAGAACGACGACGAGGACCUCGCCUCCCUGAGUGGCUGCUGCUGCUGCCCCAGGGCCGCCAUUUUCCUUGCUCCAGUCUCCUCCUCUUUCUCCCUCUGCCUUGGUGGAGCAGAGAGGCUUUGGGGUCCAUAGGAGGGUCCCUGGCCUGCUUCCCUCCCUCCCUCCCUCCCUCUGCCCUCUCAAGUGCCCAGAGACAUUCAGCACCACGAUACUGGUGACUAGUCAGCUGAAAUCAUUUUUCUUACCAAAACUUGUAACAGUAUGUUCAAAAAUGAAUAUCAGGGUGGCCCAUUUGUUGAAAUCUUCAGUGCUCAAGGCAAGAAUCCUGGAAACAAGUGGAAAGUUUUUGGCAGUCCAUCUGUAAUUGGGAAAGAGUUUGACAAGGAGGUGAAAAGCUUCGUCUUUGUUCUAGAAGGGAGAAGUCAAACUAAUAAGAUGCAGCUCCCAAAGAAAACAAGGCAAACAC